GAUGAACGCUAGCGACAGGCUUAACACAUGCAAGUCGAGGGGCAGCACGGGAGUAGCAAUACAACUGGUGGCGACCGGCGCACGGGUGAGUAACGCGUAUGCAACCUACCUAUCAGAGGGGAAUAACCCGGCGAAAGUCGGACUAAUACCGCAUAAAACAGGGGCACCGCAUGGUGAUAUUUGUUAAAGAAAUUCGCUGAUAGAUGGGCAUGCGUUCCAUUAGGUAGUUGGUGAGGUAACGGCUCACCAAGCCGACGAUGGAUAGGGGAACUGAGAGGUGGGUCCCCCACACUGGUACUGAGACACGGACCAGACUCCUACGGGAGGCAGCAGUGAGGAAUAUUGGUCAAUGGGCGAGAGCCUGAACCAGCCAAGUCGCGUGAAGGAAGAAGGAUCUAUGGUUCGUAAACUUCUUUUGCAGGGGAAUAAAGUGCAGGACGUGUCCUGUUUUGUAUGUACCCUGAGAAUAAGGAUCGGCUAACUCCGUGCCAGCCGCCGCCGUAA
rnacentral:rRNA from 1 species